GAGGCCUACGGGACGCAGCAGUGAGGAAUAUUGGUCAAUGGGCGGGAGCCUGAACCAGCCAAGUCGCGUGAAGGAAGAAGGUACUUAGUAUUGUAAACUUCUUUUGUCGGGGAACAAAGGCGGAGACGCGUCUCCGGAUGAGUGUACCCGAAGAAAAAGCAUCGGCUAACUCCGUGCCAGCAGCCGCGGUAAUACGGAGGAUGCGAGCGUUAUCCGGAUUUAUUGGGUUUAAAGGGUGCGCAGGCGGGAGAUCAAGUCAGCGGAAAAAUGUCGGGGAGCAACCCCGGCC
rnacentral:rRNA from 1 species